rnacentral:rRNA from 1 species
AGCUCCAAUAGCGUAUAUUAAAGUUGUUGCAGUUAAAAAGCUCGUAGUUGGAUUUCUGGUGUGGCGCGGCCGGCCCGCCGCCCUCUGGGCGUGUGAGUGUCGGUUCGCGUCUACCAUCCUUCUAGAGAGCGGCCCUGCCAUUCACUUGGUUGGGGUCGCGAUCUGGAUCUUUUACUUUGAAAAAAUUAGAGUGUUCAAAGCAGGCUUGCGCCACUGAAUACAUUAGCAUGGAAUAAUAAGAUAGGACUUUUUCUAUUU